GCCUGCAGUGGGUACGGGCAGACUAGAGUGCGGUAGGGGAGAUUGGAAUUCCUGGUGUAGCGGUGGAAUGCGCAGAUAUCAGGAGGAACACCGAUGGCGAAGGCAGAUCUCUGGGCCGUAACUGACGCUGAGGAGCGAAAGGGUGGGGAGCAAACAGGCUUAGAUACCCUGGUAGUCCACCCCGUAAACGUUGGGAACUAGUUGUGGGGUCCAUUCCACGGAUUCCGUGACGCAGCUAACGCAUUAAGUUCCCCGCCUGGGGAGUACGGCCGCAAGGCUAAAACUCAAAGGAAUUGACGGGGACCCGCACAAGCGGCGGAGCAUGCGGAUUAAUUCGAUGCAACGCGAAGAACCUUACCAAGGCUUGACAUAUACGAGAACGGGCCAGAAAUGGUCAACUCUUUGGACACUCGUAAACAGGUGGUGCAUGGUUGUCGUCAGCUCGUGUCGUGAGAUGUUGGGUUAAGUCCCGCAACGAGCGCAACCCUCGUUCUAUGUUGCCAGCACGUAAUGGUGGGAACUCAUGGGAUACUGCCGGGGUCAACUCGGAGGAAGGUGGGGAUGACGUCAAAUCAUCAUGCCCCUUAUGUCUUGGGCUUCACGCAUGCUACAAUGGCCGGUACAAAGGGCUGCAAUACCGUGAGGUGGAGCGAAUCCCAAAAAGCCGGUCCCAGUUCGGAUUGAGGUCUGCAACUCGACCUCAUGAAGUCGGAGUCGCUAGUAAUCGCAGAUCAGCAACGCUGCGGUGAAUACGUUCCCGGGUCUUGUACACACCGCCCGUCAAGUCAUGAAAGUCGGUAACACCUGAAGCCGGUG
rnacentral:rRNA from 1 species